ACGCUGGCGGCGUGCCUAAUACAUGCAAGUAGAACGCUGAAGGAGGAGCUUGCUUCUCUGGAUGAGUUGCGAACGGGCGAGUAACGCGUAGGUAACCUGCCUGGUAGCGGGGGAUAACUAUUGGAAACGAUAGCUAAUACCGCAUAACAGUAGAUGUUGCAUGACAUUUGCUUAAAAGGUGCAAUUGCAUCACUACCAGAUGGACCUGCGUUGUAUUAGCUAGUUGGUGGGGUAACGGCUCACCAAGGCGACGAUACAUAGCCGACCUGAGAGGGUGAUCGGCCACACUGGGACUGAGACACGGCCCAGACUCCUACGGGAGGCAGCAGUAGGGAAUCUUUGGCAAUGGACGGAAGUCUGACCGAGCAACGCCGCGUGAGUGAAGAAGGUUUUCGGAUCGUAAAGCUCUGUUGUAAGAGAAGAACGAGUGUGAGAGUGGAAAGUUCACACUGUGACGGUAUCUUACCAGAAAGGGACGGCUAACUACGCGCCAGCAGCCGCGGUAAUACGUAGGUCCCGAGCGUUGUCCGGAUUUAUUGGGCGUAAAGCGAGCGCAGGCGGUUAGAUAGGUCUGAAGUUAAAGGCUGUGGCUUAACCAUAGUACGCUUUGGAAACUGUUUAACUUGAGUGCAAGAGGGGAGAGUGGAAUUCCAUGUGUAGCGGUGAAAUGCGUAGAUAUAUGGAGGAACACCGGUGGCGAAAGCGGCUCUCUGGCUUGUAACUGACGCUGAGGCUCGAAAGCGU
rnacentral:rRNA from 1 species